CCCAGGAUCUACUAACUCGCGCCGCACGCUCUUUCUCCGACAGCUGCUCCCGGAGCCCCGCGCGCCUUGCUGUUCUGUGCCUUGCCCUUGUGUCAUCUCCGAUUGUGCCUAGCGAUGACCACCCAGCAGAUUGUUCUCCAAGGCCCGGGUCCCUGGGGUUUCCGCCUCGUGGGCGGCAAGGACUUCGAACAACCUCUCGCCAUUUCCCGGGUCACUCCUGGAAGCAAGGCUGCUAUAGCUAAUUUAUGUAUUGGAGAUUUAAUCACGGCCAUUGAUGGAGAAUAUACCAGCAGUAUGACACACUCGGAAGCUCAGAACAAAAUCAAGGGCUGCGUAGACAACAUGACGCUCACGGUAUCCAGGUCUGAACAGAAGAUUUGGUCUCCUCUAGUGACCGAGGAGGGGAAACGUCAUCCCUACAAGAUGAAUUUAGCAUCGGAACCCCAAGAAGUCUUGCACAUAGGAAGUGCCCACAACCGAAGUGUCAUGCCAUUUACUGCCUCACCUGCUCCCAGCACCCGGGUCAUCACAAAUCAGUACAACAACCCAACUGGCCUCUACUCAUCUGAAAACAUCUCCAACUUCAACAAUGCCUUGGAAUCGAAGACCUCAGCCAGUGGGGAGGAGGCGAACAGCAGGCCCUUGGUUCAGCCUCAUCCCUCCGGUAGCCUUGUCAUUGACAAGGACUCUGAAGUUUAUAAGAUGCUUCAGGAGAAGCAAGAGUUAAACGAGUCCCCCAAACAGUCCACGUCUUUCCUGGUUCUGCAGGAGAUCCUGGAGUCAGAUGGCAAAGGGGAUCCCAACAAGCCAUCGGGGUUUAGAAGUAUUAAAGCUCCAGUCACCAAAGUGGCUGCAUCUGUAGGAAAUGCUCAGAAGUUGCCCAUCUGUGACAAAUGUGGAACUGGUAUUGUUGGUGUGUUUGUGAAGCUGAGGGAUCAUCAUCGCCACCCUGAAUGUUACGUGUGCACCGACUGUGGUAGUGAUCCAUGA